CUACGGGUUGCAGCAGUGGGGGAUAUUGCACAAUGGGCGAAAGCCUGAUGCAGCAACGCCGCGUGAAGGAAGACGGUUUUCGGAUUGUAAACUUCUAUCAGCAGGGAAGAAAAUGACUGUACCUGACUAAGAAGCCCCGGCUAACUACGUGCCAGCAGCCGCGGUAAUACGUAGGGGGCAAGCGUUAUCCGGAAUUACUGGGUGUAAAGGGUACGUAGGCGGCUGAUCAAGUCAGAUGUGAAAGCCCGGAGCUCAACUCCGGGACUGCAUUUGAAACUGGUCGGCUAGAGUGCAGGAGAGGAAAGUGGAAUUCCUAGUGUAGCGGUGAAAUGCGUAGAUAUUAGGAAGAACACCAGUGGCGAAGGCGGCUUUCUGGACUGUAACUGACGCUGAGGUACGAAAGCGUGGGGAGCGAACAGGAUUAGAUACCCCCGUAGUC
rnacentral:rRNA from 1 species